rnacentral:rRNA from 1 species
CAAUAGCGUAUAUUAACGUUGUUGCAGUUAAAAAGCUCGUAGUUGGAUUUCUGGAGGGAGCGUCGGCCCGUAUUUACGAGUGCGUGACGUCUCUGUCCAUCCUUGCGGGAAGGCACGGCAUUGAUUUGUUGUGUCGGAUCGCAUCAUUUACUGUGAAAAAAUUAGAGUGUUCAAAGCAGGCUUUCGCUUGAAUACAUUAGCAUGGAAUGAUAAGAUAGGACUUUGGUGCUAUUUUGUUGGUUGAGCCUAAAGUAAUGAUUAAUAGGGAUAGUUGGGGGCACCUGUAUUGCGUUGUCAGAGGUGAAAUUCUUGGAUUUACGCAAGACAAACAGCUGCGAAAGCGUCUGCCAAGGAUGUUUUCAUUAA